GCCUUGGUAGCUCAAUUGGCUAGAGCGUGGGACUUUUACGAAAUCUGGAAAAAUAGAAUAUUCUUCUAGGUUCUGAGGAAUCCCAAGGUUGCGGGUUCGACCCCCGCCUGAGGCG